GGGGGUGUACUGGUUUCGACUGAUGGUUUGAAGAGCAGACUGCGUGUCGAGGUUGAUCGGUUGGCCUCGUAAAAAACCGAUCAAAAACCAAAUGCAAAUAACGAACCUGAACUUGCGCUGGCUGCUUAAUUAAGCUGCCCGGGAAGAAGCCGACGCCGGCUGAGCUUCUCCCGCUAAAAUAGUCGGCUCAGCCUCCUGACGGGUGUCCGGUCAGAGCGGUGAAAGGUUACAGGGCAAUAGGGGAAAAGGGAUUCUGUCGAUCGAAGCCCCUUCUCUGAAAUCAAAAGAUUGAAUAUGCAUGUAGAUGUCUGUUUAGACAGCUGUUAGGACAGGGGUUCGACUCCCCUCACCUCCACUA
rnacentral:tmRNA from 1 species